UGGCGGACGGGUGAGUAACACGUGAGAAUUCACCUUUAGGUGGGGAAUAACUUUUGGAAACGAUAGCUAAUGCCCCAUAUACUCGUAAGAGACAAAAGAGCAAUCUGCCUAAAGAGAAGCUCGCGGCUGAUUAGCUAGUUGGUAAGGUAAUGGCUUACCAAGGCGACGAUCAGUAGCUGGUUUGAGAGAACGAUCAGCCACACUGGAACUGAGACACGGUCCAGACUCCUACGGGAGGCAGCAGUGGGGAAUUUUCCGCAAUGGGCGAAAGCCUGACGGAGCAAUACCGCGUGAGGGAUGACGGCCUUUGGGUUGUAAACCUCUUUUAUCAAGGAGGAAGUUCUGACGUGUACUUGAUGAAUAAGCAUCGGCUAACUCCGUGCCAGCAGCCGCGGUAAGACGGAGGAUGCAAGUGUUAUCCGGAAUCACUGGGCGUAAAGCGUCUGUAGGUUGUUUAAAAAGUCUACUGUUAAAAAUUGAAGCUUAACUUCAAAGAUGCCGUAGAAAC
rnacentral:rRNA from 1 species